rnacentral:rRNA from 1 species
AACGAACGCUGGCGGCAUGCCUAACACAUGCAAGUCGAACGAUGCCUUCGGGCAUAGUGGCGCACGGGUGAGUAACGCGUGGGAACCUGCCCUUUGGUACGGAAUAACUCCGGGAAACUGGAGCUAAUACCGGAUGUGUCCCCCGGGACAAAGAUUUAUCGCCACGGGAUGGGCCCGCGUAGGAUUAGCUUGUUGGUGGGGUAACGGCCUACCAAGGCUACGAUCCUUAGCUGGUCUGAGAGGAUGAUCAGCCACACUGGGACUGAGACACGGCCCAGACUCCUACGGGAGGCAGCAGUGGGGAAUAUUGGACAAUGGGCGCAAGCCUGAUCCAGCAAUGCCGCGUGAGUGAUGAAGGCCUUCGGGUUGUAAAGCUCUUUCGCACGCGACGAUGAUGACGGUAGCGUGAGAAGAAGCCCCGGCUAACUUCGUG